AACGCGAAGAACCUUACCAGGCCUUGACAUGCAUCUCUAAACCGGUGAAAGCCGGCGAGUCUCGAAAGAGACAAUUUGCACAGGUGCUGCAUGGCUGUCGUCAGCUCGUGUCGUGAGAUGUUGGGUUAAGUCCCGCAACGAGCGCAACCCUUGUGAACUGUUGCCACCGAGCCGAGAGGCUCGAGCACUCUGUUCAGACUGCCUCGCUUAAACGGGGAGGAAGGUGAGGACGACGUCAAGUCAGUAUGGCCCUUACGGCCUGGGCUGCACACGUACUACAAUGCCCAGUACAGAACGAUCCGAGACCGCAAGGUGGAGGAAAUCUAUUAAAAACUGGGCCCAGUUCGGAUUGGAGUCUGCAAUUCGACUCCAUGAAGCCGGAAUCGCUAGUAAUGGCGUAUCAGCUACGACGCCGUGAAUACGUUCCCGGGCCUUGUA
rnacentral:rRNA from 1 species